rnacentral:lncRNA from 1 species
UUUUCGACACCUAUGAGUGGACUGCCUUCAAAACUUGUUUUGGGAAAUAUAAUGUAAUUGCCACCCAUUUGAAUGAAUUAUCAAGUUUUUCAUGAAAAAAAGUGCCUUGGGAACAAGCUUUUGAAAAAUGGUUUUAUGUUGUAAUAUGUGAUUGCUAUGGAUUCAUGCACUAUUGUAUUAUGAUGAUAUAUAUAUAUAUGUGUGUUAUGCAUGAUGAAUGAUAUUGUGCAAAAUAACUGUAACUGUGUGUGUACAUGAUGUGGGGAAUGCACAUGCCGGUGAUGAUGGUGGCGUGAGAUAUAGAUGAUGGUAGUGCCCGUGUGCAUGAUGUGGGGGGAUGUACACAUGGCACUGAUUGUGCAUGAUGUGGGGGAUGCACAUGAUGGUGUCGGCUAUGUGCACGAUGUGGGGGGGGAUGUGCAUGAGCCGGGAGUGAUUAUGAUGAUAUUGAUGUUUGUCUAUGUAAUUAUGCAUAUCUAGAUUUAUGAAAUGAAAGCUCAUGAAUGUGAUAUAUGGUUGACAUAUAUGUGAAAUUUGACACAUUGUACUUUGAGAAUUUUCAUGAGUUUUAUGUUGAUUUUGUUAGUUUAGCAGGAUGGCUUUUUNNNNNNNNNNNNNNNNNNNNNNNNNNNNNNNNNNNNNNNNNNNNNNNNNNNNNNNNNNNNNNNNNNNNNNNNNNNNNNNNNNNNNNNNNNNNNNNNNNNNNNNNNNNNNNNNNNNNNNNNNNNNNNNNNNNNNNNNNNNNNNNNNNNNNNNNNNNNNNNNNNNNNNNNNNNNNNNNNNNNNNNNNNNNNNNNNNNNNNNNNNNNNNNNNNNNNNNNNNNNNNNNNNNNNNNNNNNNNNNNNNNNNNNNNNNNNNNNNNNNNNNNNNNNNNNNNNNNNNNNNNNNNNNNNNNNNNNNNNNNNNNNNNNNNNNNNNNNNNNNNNNNNNNNNNNNNNNNNNNNNNNNNNNNNNNNNNNNNNNNNNNNNNNNNNNNNNNNNNNNNNNNNNNNNNNNNNNNNNNNNNNNNNNNNNNNNNNNNNNNNNNNNNNNNNNNNNNNNNNNNNNNNNNNNNNNNNNNNNNAGUGUUAUUUUGUUUUGUAUAGACGAACUUAAUGUAAAUUAUUAGAAUACAUGUUGUAGACAUUGUAUGUAAAUUUUUAAGGAGUAAUGCCAGUACGAGUUGGCAAUGUAUAUCACUAUUUUGAUUCAAAGUUAUGAAAUAUGACUUAGUGAUAUUAGAUGGAAUUAUAAGUAAGAUAAAUAAUAGGCUUGCUUGGGUUUAGUGGAUUACGUCCAUUGGACCCUUGCGCAGGUCAUGGCCCGGAAUUUGGGUCGUGACAAUGUUAGUAUCAAAGCCCUAGGUUUGUCUAGGUCUUAAAGCUUCCUUUUGUUGGUCCAGCGAAGAGUCAGGUCUUUAUGUGGGAACUUCAGUUGUAAAGUGUGAACCGCGGCACAUUUUACAACCAAAUGACCGCAUAGAUUCCCUAUCUUAGAAACACCUUUUGCCUUAAGUACGAUUAUAAUAUGUGUUUAAUAUCAGGUGUUUGCUUUAGUCUAGGUAAGAAUGUCGCCUAAGACACGAGACGCCUCAAGACGAAUGAGGGAGCAAGAUGCUCCUAUUGAGAUGGCAGAUAGGCCACGGGCAUCCACCCGGAGAGGCUGAAGUGGACGUGGCAGGGCCAUUAGGCCAGUGAGGUCGGAUACGCCUGUGAGUAGGCAAGAGGAGGGACAAUCCUCAGGUGAUGUAGAUAGACACCCAGCUGGGGGUACUACUAUUGAGGAUUUGGCGGCAGGCCUACAGGGAGUUAAUCGGGUUGUAGAGAUGAUGGUGACCCGUAUAGAGGAUAUACAGAGGGUAGUAGAGGGGAGACCUACAGUACAAGAAUCUCCUAGCUCCGAAGGACAGGCCGAUCGCCAAUAUUGUGAGGUUGAGAGGGGUCACUUAGAGAUUUCUCUUAUCAAUUUCCUAAAGCUUAAGCCUCCAUCAUUUUCAGGGUUUGAUGCAUCAGAGAAACCCCAGGUUUUCUUGGAUAAGAUGGAGAAGAUAUGUAAAGCUUUGGGAUGCUCCAGUGUUCGGUCAGUUGAGUUAGCCACUUUUUGAUUAGAGGAUGUGGCGUAGAAGUGGUAUAGCUCUUUGUGUAAGGUAGACCGACGGAUGCAGCGCCAUUGGCUUGGAGUGAGUUUAGUGCAGCCUUCUUGGAUCGGUUCCUACCACUCAGUGUACGUAAUGCUAGAGCUAGGGAGUUUGAGACUUUCGUACAGAUUUCGAGUAUGACGGUGUUGGAGUAUGACAUCAAGUUCACACAGUUGUCUUGGUAUGCUCCCUACCUCGUUUCUACUAAGGAGAUGAAGAUUUAGAGGUUUGUGGAUAGGUUAGUAGAGCCACUGUUUAGGGCUGUGGCAUCUCGAGAUUUCACUACCAAUUCCGCAGUAGUAGAUUGUGCUCAGCGCAUUGAGAUGAGGACCAGUGAGAGUAGGGCUGCGAGGGAUAAAGCAAAGAGGGCCAAGACAGAGGGUUAUCAGGGCCAUAGAGAUUUCAGCAGUGGUGGUUCAUCUUCUAACCAUUAGGGUCCACAGAGGGAUUCACGAUUAUCCUAGCAGAGGAGUGACCUGCCUAGUGCUAGUGUUGGGACGAGACAAAGAACUUUCAAUGCUAGCAGGCAACAAGAUUCGAGACAGAGUAGUCAAGUUAUCCACCCUUGUAAUAUCUGUGGGAGGAGACAUAGUGGAUGAUGCUUACGUACUGCGGCAGUUUGUUAUUAGUGUGGCCAACCUGGGCACAUUAGGAGGAAUUGUCCGAUGGCUCAUCAAUCACAAGAUUCGGCACGUGGUUCCACCCAGCCAACUUCAUCUGCUCCUUCAGUUGCUGCCUCAUCUGGCCGGAAGGCUAGUGGAUCGAGAGGUAGAGGUGCUGGUACUUCCUCUCAAGGUAGGCCAUCUGGGUCCAGACAUCAAAGUUCUGUUGGUAGAGGCCAGGCGAAGGUGUUUGCUUUAACACAGCAAGAGGCCCAGCAUCCAAUGCCGUGGUCUUAGGUAUUCUUUCAAUUUGUGAUAUGAAUGCUCGAGUCUUAUUUGAUCCUGGUGCUACCCAUUCUUUUAUCUCUCCAUGUUUUGCAUAUAGGUUGGGUAGAGAUCCUGUUAGGAGAGAGGAACAAUUAGUGGUGUCUACUCCUUUAAAGGAGAUAUUUGUGGUCAAAUGGGAAUAUGAAUCUUGUGUAGUACGAGUCAAGGACAAGGACAAGGACACUUUGGUGAAUUUGGUGGUGUUAGACACCUUAGACUUUGAUGUGAUCUUGGGGAUGAAUUGGUUAUCACCCUGUCAUGCUAGUGUGAACUGUUAUCAUAAAUUGGUUAGAUUUGAUUUCCUCGGUGAACCUUCAUUUAGUAUUCAGGGGGAUAGGAGUAAUGCUCCAACCAAUUUGAUAUCGAUCAUUUUUGCCAGAAGAUUAUUACGACAAGGUUGUAUAGGUUACUUGGCCAUGGUAAGAGAUACUAAGGCGAAGGUUGGAAAUGUAAGUCAAGUGUCGGUGGUGAAAGAGUUCGUGGAUGUAUUUCCCAAGGAGCUACCAGGUUUACCUCCCAAACGAGAGAUUGAAUUUUGCAUAGAUUUAAUUCCCGACACUAGACUUAUAUCCAUACCCCCAUAUAGAAUGGCACCGGCAGAGCUUAAAGAGCUUAAGGAUCAAUUAGAGGAUUUGUUGGAUAAAGGCUUCAUCCGUCCUACUGUAUUCCCAUGGGGAGCACUGGUGUUAUUUGUAAAGAAGAAAGAUGGGUCACUUAGGCUGUGCAUUGAUUAUCGGCAGCUUAAUAAAGUGACGGUGAAAAAUAAGUAUCCUCUCCUAAGGAUAGAUGAUUUAUUUGAUCAACUAUAAGGAGCACAAUGUUUCUCUAAGAUAGAUCUGCGAUCUGGGUACCAUCAGUUGAGAAUCCGAAAUGAAAAUAUACCCAACAUUGCAUUUCGAACAAGAUAUGGGCACUAUGAGUUCUUGGUGAUGUCAUUUGGGCUCAUGAGUCCUCCUGCAGCCUUUAUGGAUUUGAUGAACCGAGUGUUCAAGCUUUAUUUGGAUAAGUUCGUGGUGGUGUUUAUUGAUAACAUCUUGAUAAAUUCGAAGAGCCAAGAGUAGCAUGAGCAGUAUCUUAAGAUAGUGCUCCAAAUUUUGAGAGAACAUCAAUUGUAUGCGAAGUUCUCCAAGUGUGAGUUUUGGCUCGAAAGUGUUGCAUUCUUGGGGCAUGUGGUAUUUAAGGAUGGGAUACAAGUUGAUUCAAAGAAAAUUGAAGCAGUGAAAAAAUGGCCAAGGUCAACAUCAGUUACGGAGAUUAGAAGCUUUGUGGGUUUGGCUGGCUAUUAUCGUCGCUUUGUAAAGGACUUCUCCAAAAUAGUCGCCCCUCUGACUAAGGUGACACGUAAGGAUACAAAAUUUGAGUGGUUUGAUGCUUAUGAGAAUAGCUUUGAGAAGCUUAAGGCAUGUCUUACCACAGCUCUAGUGUUAAGCCUACUACAAGGCACGGGGGGUUAUACGGUGUUUUGUGAUGCAUCGGGGGUUGGUUUAGGAUGUGUACUAAUGCAACAUGGGAAGGUGAUUGCAUAUGCAUCUAGGCAACUUAAAAGGCAUUAGCAGAAUUACCCCAUACACGAUUUGGAAAUGGCAGCGAUCGUGUUUGCCUUAAAGAUUUGGAGGCAUUACUUGUAUGGUGAGACUUGCGAGAUAUACAUGGACCACAAAAGUCUGAAGUAUAUGUUUCAGCAGAGGGAUCUUAACUUGCGGCAACGUAAAUGGAUGGAGUUGCUAAAGGAUUAUGAUUGUACUAUUUUUUACCAUCUCGAUAAGGCCAAUGUUGUGGCGGAUGCCUUGAGUCGAAAAUCAAUGGGAAGCUUGGCACAUAUUUUUACUGAUAGGAGAUCAUUGGUUAGAGAGAUCCAUAGCUUGGGAGACAUAGGUGUGCAUUUGGAAGUUGCGGAGACAGAUGCAUUGCUAGCACAUUUUAGAGUAAGGCCUAUCUUAAUGGACCGAAUCAAAGAAGCACAAAGUAAAGAUGAGUUUGUGGCUAAGGCCUUAGAGGAUCCUCAGGGAAGGAAAGGAAAAAUGUUUACCAAAGGCACAGAUGGAGUGUUAAGGUAUGAAACCAGACUUUAUGUGCCUGAUGGUGACGGGUUGAGGAGAGAAAUAUUGGAAGAAGCUCACAUGGCAGCUUAUGUGGUACAUCCAGGGGCUACAAAGAUGUAUCAAGAUUUGAAAGAGGUGUAUUGGUGGGAAGGAUUUAAGAGAGAUGUAGCUGAGUUUGUCUCCAAGUGCCUGGUUUGUCAGCAGGUUAAGGCUGAGCAUCAAAAGCCUGCAGGGCUACUACAGCCAUUACCAGUACCCGAGUGGAAGUGGGAACAUAUUGCUAUGGACUUUGUAAUGGGUUUGCCUCAAACCAGUGGGGGAUAUAAUUCAAUUUGGAUAGUAGUAGACCGGUUAACAAAGUCAACUCAUUUUAUUAGUAGACCAGUUUAUGUGGAUGAGAUAGUACGACUGCAUGGUAUUCCCAUUUCAAUAGUAUCUGACAGAGGAGCUCAGUUUAUUAGUAGGUUUUGGAGAAAGUUGCAGGAAGCAUUGGGCACUAAGUUGGAUUUCAGCACAGCUUUCCACCCUCAGACUGAUGGAUAGUCUGAACGGACCAUAUAGACAUUGGAGGAUAUGUUAAGAGCUUGUGUGAUAGACCUUGGUGUCAGGUGGGAUCAAUAUCUACCCUAAGUGGAGUUUGCCUACAAUAAUAGUUUCCAAACUAGCAUCCAAAUGGCACCAUUUGAGGCAUUAUAUGGACAGAGAUGUAGGUCACCCAUUGGAUGGCAAGAGGUGGGAGAAAGGAAACUUUUGGGGCUUGAAUUGGUGCAGGAUGAAACCGAGAAAAUACGCAUGAUCCGUCAAAGGAUGUUAACAGCACAAAGUAGACAUAAAUCAUAUGCUGAUAACCGAUGGAGAGACUUGGAGUUCCAAGUAGGAGAUCAUGUAUUUUUAAAAGUUUCGCCAACUAAAGGGGUAAUGAGGUUUGGCAAGAAAAGGAAGUUAAGUCCUUGGUAUAUAGGGCCAUUCGAGAUCUUAGAAAGGGUUGGAGCGGUGGCUUAUCGUUUGGCAUUACCACCAGACCUUUUGAAUAUUCAUCCCGUGUUACAUGUGUCCAUGCUUAAAAAGUACAAUCCGGAUCCACCACAUGUAAUACGGUAUGAAACCAUUCAAUUGCAAGAUGUCUAACCUAUGAGGAACAACCAGUAGCUAUCCUUGAUAGGCAAGUUAAAAAGCUCCGUUCAAAGGAUGUAGCCUCAGUGAAAGUGUUGUGGCGGAAUCACACUAGAGAGGAGGUAACGUGGGAAGCUGAGGAUGAGAUGCGGACAAAGCAUCCACACCUUUUCGAUAUGUAAAGGUAAGCUACUCUACAUUGAAUUUAAUUUCGGAGACCGAAUUUUUAUUAGUGGGGGAGAAUGUGAGACCUUGUCAAGCUCGAUUAAAAGACGGUAUUGUAUCGAGUGGUACAACUAAGUUAAAUCGAGCCUUGAACUAGUUCAAAUAGAAAUUCUAAGAGGAAUUUGAAAAUUCUAAAACCCACAGAAUGGCUUAGAAUAGUGAUUUGGAGUUCAAGGUCUAGUUUGGAGUCCAUCAGGAAAAUUGAUCAAUUAGAGACAAAACGGUCAUUUUACCAUUUGAUGAUAAAAUGGAGAUUUUUAGCCAAGAUUUGAUCACAUUUGAUGAAUCAUAAUUAUAUGAAAUAUAAUUAUGAUUAUUGGAGUAUAAAAUGAUGUUUAGCAGUGAAAAAUUGUGAUUCUCAAUAUUUUUGGAGCACAAGGGUAAAAUGGUAAUUUUACCACUAGAGGACUAAACGAGAAUUUUUAUAAAAUGAUUUUUGCCCCAUUUGGUUAAUAUUGAUCAAUAUUACUGUUAUUUGAGGUUGAAAAGUAGAAAUAAUGUGAUUCCGGUACAUUUCGGAGUAUAGGGGUAAAAUCGUAAUUUUUUCGUCUCGAGGGCAAAUUGGUAAAUUUUUCACUCCAGCACUUUUCAAGACCAAGGGAUUUUAAUUGUGGUAGGAUUGGAUAAAUACCAGAAUAUUUGUGGUGGAAAAUUAAGAAGAAAAAGUCAAAAAGUUAAAAAAUUAGGCCAAUAAGCAUGUGACACGUAGCAUUCUUGAUUAUUUUAUUAUUUUUUAUAGAAAUCAGCCCAUUAAAUCCCCAAUUCUCUCACCAUAUUCGGCCUAGGCAACCAGCAACAAGAACAAAGGAAGAACAAAGGGAAAAACAAGAAAACCUAGGUGGAAAUUCAAAGAAAAAGUGAAGAAAUCAAGGAAACAAGCUAGGUAAGUUAAAAUUUCUUUAAUUCUCCUUGAUACCUAGCUUACCCAUGCUUUUGUUCUUGAUUUCCAUGGUUGAAUAUUGAGUUAUCAUGAUGAAUUCAAUUCUGAAAAAUGGGUAUGGAAGAGGAAUUGUUGUUGGAAUAAUUUGAUUUUAGACUAUGUUAGUGUUUAGGGAUAGUUAAGCAUGGUUAUGAACAAAAACACAAAAGAAAUAUUCAAUUUCUCUAGGGUUCCUUGUUGGUCGAACCAUGAGGGCUGAAUNAAAACACAAAAGAAUUAUUCAAUUUCUCUAGGGUUCCUUGUUGGUUGAACCAUGAGGGCUGAAUAUCAAUGGGGGAUUGUUUUUAUUUCAAGGAAAAUGGCUUGCAAAAUGAUGAAAUAAGGUGAAAUGGUUAUGUAGAAAAAAAUUUUGGUGCUAGUGCACCAAAUGAUCAAAUUUUUCUAUAAGGAACUGUGCGGGUUCUAAUGCUGAAUUUGGCUUUAUUUAAGUGGUAUGUGGUAAAUUAAGAUAUUAGAGGAGAAAUGGAUUAAUUUGGAGGUGAUUUGGACACAAUCGCCAAUUAAUCGGGUGAUCGGUCGAAUUUAAUCAAUACCGCGAUUAAGUGGUAAUCGAACAUAUUUUUGCAUUUACAUAUCAAGCAUUAGUAAUUUAAAUUAGUUUAUAUCAAUUUAGGGAUAAUAUAGUAAAUUCCUCGACUUUGUUAUUUGUCAAGGUAGUGAGACGUUUGGAAAAGGCAAAGGAAUCGCGCUUAAGGACUAUUAGUCCGAGUGCACCCAAAAUCCAAAUUUUCGACACCUGUGAGUGGACUGCAUUCAAAACUUAUUUUGGGAAAUAUAAUGUAAUUGCCACCCAUUUGAAUGAAUUAUCAAGUUUUUCAUGAAAAUAAGUGCCUUGGGAACAAGCUUUCGAAAAAUGGUUUUAUGUUUGUAAUAUGUGAUUGCUAUGGAUUCAUGCACUAUUGUAUUAUGGUGAUAUAUAUAUAUAUAUAUAUAUGUGUGUUGUGCAUGAUGAAUGAUAUUGUGUAUAAUGACUGUAACUGUGUGUGUACAUGAUGUGGGGAAUGCACAUGCCGGUGAUGAUGGUGGCGUGAGAGAUAGAUGAUGAUAGUGCCUGUGUGCACGAUAUAGGGGGAUGUACACGAUGGCACUGAUUGUGCAUGAUGUGGGGGAUGCACAUGAUGGUGCCGGCUAUGUGCACGGUGUGGGGGGAUGUACAUGAGCCAGGAGUGAUUAUGAUGAUAUUGAUGUUUGUCUAUUAUGAUGAUAUUGAUGUUUGUCUAUGUAAUUAUGCAUAUCUAGAUUUAUAAAAUGAAAGCUCAUGAAUGUGAUUUAUGGUUGACAUAUAUGUGAAAUUUGACACAUUGUACUUUGAGAAUUUUUAUGAGUUUUAUGUUGAUUUUGUUAGUUUAGUAGGAUGGCUUUUUGUUGAAUGAGGGAAAAUGUUUCUCUUAUUGCUUUGUUUUCGCUGCAACGAGAAACUCUCGGGUUUGAGGACCUUUCACUAGAACUGGUUCUCAUUGCAGCGAAAAACUUUUUGUUUCUGAGUAACAAUUUCGUUGCAGCGAAAUUCAUUUUCACUGCAGCGAAAAACUUUCUGUUUUGUCUCCUAUCUUGUCCAAUUGCUGCCCUAUUUUUCACUUUUUGGCUACCAUAUCUAAGCAUGGACUUCCAACAUUUAGGACAAAAUGAAUUAAGUUUAAAAUGAGGGGUUUUUAAUAUGAAUGGAACUAAAUUGCAUUGUUUUGAAACAAGUGCAUCAUGAUUUUAAAUUCUCCCUUGUUGUUGUUGCUUGUUCCUUUCCUUGUUCACUCACUAGGCUUAUACUCACCUUUUUCAAAUUCAUGUUUUCAGAUCACGAGGUAGUCGGUAACUAGGACGAGGUGUCCUUGUAGACUUGUGUCCAUCUUUUGGUAGGUGUCUCGGCAUUCGGUAGCUAUAUAUUCAUCCGAGUCACUCUGUUGGAAGUCGAGUGUUAUUUUGUUUUGUAUAGACGAACUUAAUGUAAAUUAUUAGAAUACAUGUUGUAGACAUUGUAUGUAAAUUUUUAAGGAGUAAUGCCAGUACGAGUUGG